GCCCACAGGAACAAAGUCCUGAUGCCCUUUCUGUUAAUGUUUGAAUAAGCCAAUAGUGUGUCGCUAUGCUAAAUUCCACACCCCUAAGCCCCUUACCCCAUAAAAACCCCUAGCUUUCAAGCCUCGUGGCCGACAUCUGUUAUCUCCUGUGUGGGAUGCAUGUCAGUCCAGAGCUCCGUCCGUCAUUAAACGUCCUCAUGUAAUUACAUCAAGAGAUGGUCCUUCGUGAUUUUUUGGGUGCACGCUGAAUCAGGAGUUGGGUGGGGGUUUCCCCACUAGAUAUAACAAGUUCAAAGUCACAUCUGUCUUCCUAGCAACAUGAAACUUGUGUGGAAUUUGAUUGUUCAAAGGACUAUCAUUGAAUAGAUAUUGCAAGAUGUUCAAAUACACAAGAAGAAAUUCUGCCUCUAAAAGUCUUGAGUUUUUUGCUUCAUUAGUGUUUUUCCUUACAUAAGAAACCGAGAAAUUAAAUUAUUUUCAUGAUAUCUGCCUUAGAUCUAAAACUUAGAAAAAACAAAAAACCUGUUUUUAGGAUGAGAACAAGUAGAGAAUCGGCCAAAAAAUAAUGCAGAAAGAGAGAGACCUUGGAAUAUUCAGUCCUAAGUGGGGUGUCUCCAUCAAAUCCCUCCCUUCAGAGCUCAGGGAACCCCACAGAGGAAGAGGCAGAAGGAGUGUGGGAACCAAAGGUGAUGGAGGAGAGCAGGAGAACAAGGCCCUGUAAAUGAAGUGAACAAAGCUGAUAUAAACUCACAGAGACUGAGGCAGCGUGCACCCAUUUUCUUUUAACAUUGCAGAAUUCAGAGAUUUGCACAGAAGGUAAGUCAGCUUCUACCCACACACUUCUUCAGGUAACUGGCAGGAUUUGAAGGGAGCUAUUCCUUCCUCUUCCUCCACCUAGACACCCUGGACACUUACUGUUGAACAUUUAUCUUAGCUGGGUGGGAGGCAGGGAUCAAUCUCAGCCUUACAUGUCCAAACACUGAUAGCACAAAAGUGGUUUCCUGUAAUCCCAGAAAAUCCAGGAAUGUCUGCUCCACUGUCCUUCCCGGCAGGUUCCGUACUCGCUUGCCCAGGCAGCAUCCACCUCCAUCUUUCUUUUCCCCCUCUUCUAUUUCUUGGUUUGUGUAUUAUUUUAAUCUAGCACAUGAUCACAUAUGGUUUUGUUGAUACUGAGAGAGUAAGAGAUAAUAAAUCCAUGAGUACCUGUGAGCUUUAAUAUACAAAUGAAGUUUUCCAAAAGACCUGGAAAUGUCAAGGACUAGCCUUGGCUUAGAGUGCGGUUGGGGGUGGGGGGAAGGGGUGUCUGGGAGCAGUGAAACAGGACUCCAAGUCAAAUUGUGGGUCAGAGCUGGCAACCUAUGUUGUGUUCAAGGCAGCUUUCCAGACUGUUCUAGGUUCUGCUUUUUUUCUCUUGGCUCUGCUUUCUCUGGAGAGCUCCAUACCCAUCUCUGUGUUUUACAGUUCUCCAAGCUGUUCUAAUUAGCGCCUCUCUUACAGAUCAAAAGCCCAGGCUUUUAUUUUACAUAUCAAUCCAGUCAUUUACUCCAGGUUUCCUUUUCAUUAGCAGAUGAAUCAGCAACCUGUGACCCCAGCCCCUUAAUUCUUUGGGAGACCACAAGCACACACUUUUUUUUUUAACAUUGUAAAAGAAUCCAGAGAUCUGCCUGCCAAAGUUAAACACAGUUGAAUAGAUCUCUGGGUAGGAUCUGGCAGGAAACUACCGUUUCUACCACUCCUGGGCCUAACUUUGCUCUGUCCCAGGCUGACCUUGAACUCAAGAAUCUGCCUGCAUUUGUAGCUGCCUCUUUGUAUCUUAUGACAAGCUAGCUCUUUGUGCCUUUAGAUCUGUGAAGCGCCUUAUACAAUUCAUAGUGCAUCCUUCUAUUUUUACACAGUUGAGAAAUGAUAUAUUUUUGAACUUGUGUUUUUAGAAUUCUUUAACACAUCCUUAAGGGGCAGCCCUGAAGGUCCCAGCGUUUACCAUUUUGCUGAAACAUGAGCCACACCUUCGCCACCCAGACUGGGGUUGUCUCCGCUGAUCAUGGAGUCAUUAGCACUAACGGCGGGCAUUCCUUGAAGGAACGCGAACUUAUGUACAUUAUUAUACAAACAAGCCUUAUGCCCAUGGCAACCAUCGAUAUUCAUAGGGGCCCACACCUGCUGGCCCUGUCCCAGGGGCGGGAACUAUGUCAUCCUGUUCCCACCAAGGCCACGCUGGUCCCAGCAUAGCAACACAGUAAAUUAAUUGUUUUGUCUCAUUUGUUACUUCGUGCAAAAAGAUACUCCUCCUUAAAAGACAAAGAAAAGGCUCCUUUGCUCAUCUUCUCACGAAGCUCACCUGCGCUUGUGUCCUGCCUCCCCAUAGGAUAGUGCCUUGGUCGUGUUCAUCCGACGUGCAUUCUAUUACCCUCGAUAUCCCCCCCCCCUCCGUGAAAUUUCCGGAAGAUGAAUGGAUCUGCAAAUUGUUAUAUGGAGCAAAGUAAUUCAGAAUCAGACACAGGCACCCCACGUUUGCUCUUAGGAGGGGAUCGUACAUCUGUGUGUGGGUGGGCUUUAUAGGUCAUGACACCAGAAUGAAGACAGUGAAAGGGUAAAGGGGCUUCUUUUCCUUUUAAGGAGGAGUAUCUUUUUGCACAGAAUAACAAAUGAGGCAAUUGUGUUUCUAGAUCUUCCGGAAAACCUCAUUUGUAUAGGAAAGCCAUUUCAUUUGUUGAUGACCACAAGCCUCGCGGGUACUCCCUGACUUAUCUCUUACUCGUUCUGUGGGGACCACACUGUGCAGGGGUCCUCUUCCGGAACAGACCUCCACCCUCUAUUAGCUUACUCUAUGCAGGUUUCCACGAAAUCUUCCCACCAUUCUUCCAAGGUUCUCUGUUACAGUUUCUCAUGCACAUAAUAUAAUUUUUAUGUCCUCUAAAAGAAUUGGAAUCAUUCUCUUUAUAAACUGGUUUUAAGAACGACGUCAUAUUUUUCUGCACAUUGUAGAAGCUUCUUUGCAGACAUUUAAUAACGGGGUGCUUUGGUGCCACCUCGUGACGGAAUCCUGAACUACAGUUUGAACACCACUGAGAAGGAGAGGCUAGAGGAGCUGCUGCAGUCCAACUACCUUUCAGAACAUUCUGGAAGAUUGCUUGGAAAAGGAACGAUUUCCGGUAGAAGUAUUGGGAGUCAUCAGACAGAAAAUUCAUCUCCGUGCUUUGAACUUGUGUGGAAAUUAGUCCUUUUGGAACCGUAAAGAUCGAGAUACCAAGUUAAUGGCCACUCGUGAAGCUCCAGAAGAACAUCAAAGAAUUCAAUGAUGCAGACCACUUUAUGGAAGUCAAAGAUGAAAUACUGGCUUCAGACGACUUCUGCUUCAGCACCUGCCACAAACUUCCGCAAAGGUAAAGAGAAGAGAAUCAAAUCGCAUUAUAUGCUGGAGAUGCAGGACAAGUAAACACAGCAAACAUGUUGAGCAGAUCAAGUCUCAUACAGCUACAACACAGAAGCUGACGUCCUUGUCUGUGCCACUGAGCUAGGAGAUUAACUCCAACUUCUAAUACGGUGUAUCUGAAACUGGAUUCAGAUUUGAACACCUCUUCAAGAGGUAGUCACUGAUCCUUGAGGUGAGUGGGACCCUGAUCCUCCCCAGUGUCCAAGUUUCACAGCAGAAUAACCUUGAAGACCUUUUCUUUAAACCCUCACUAGAAGCGCUUGUUGGUAGAAGU
rnacentral:lncRNA from 1 species